CCUGGGCCAGUGGAGGCGGCCUGGCUGUGCCGGUGUGUUCUGCCCACACGUGGUGGGGGGCAUCGCAGCCAUCUCCUACGCCCUACUCCCACCACGUGGAACCUGCUAGGUCCUUUUUGAAUCAGAAUCUCCAAGGAUAUAAGAAGGCAUCACAGUAGAGACAGGAUUUGGUGACGAAAUCUUUGAUGAAUUCUUGCUGUGCUGUGAGUUCUUCUCCUCCCCAUCGGAGUGAAGCUCCAGCCUAUUUCCCUCAUGUCAUGCCUACAGGCUUCCAGAAGACUAGUUGAGGAACUUGAUCUGCCAGUCUUGCCUGUGGUGGGCAGCACCUGAUGUCUCUGCAGUUUUGCAGCCUUAGAGAGUUCAAAAGACCUGCUCCAUAUGUGUGCGUUUCAGGUGUCAGCCAGAAAUAUGGCAGUUUAUACACAGAAUUUGGUCUUCUUCCUCUCUAACUUCUCUCCUUUUGGGGAUUUCCUUUCUUGGAUUUUCUCCCACUUUCCAGCUAUUCUAGUUGUCCCAAACUCUGUCUUCUGCUUUUUCAACCCAGUAAGUCUCAGGGCAACAACAGGGGCCCGCCCUCAAGCAAAACGCCAUAAAAGUGGGAAACUCACUGAAUCCCAUUUCUUUCUCACGAGCACUAACACCUCUCUAGUAAAUGGCUUCUUUUGGUGUUCUCCCGUCUCUUCAGAUAUUUUUUCUAUUUGGUCCAGAGUUUGCAGUUUUUCCCUGUAGGAGGGUUGGUCCAAAAGGAAAUACCUGGUUAUUGCUGGAAGCAGAACCCCUUAUUUAACCCCUUAUUGGUGUCCCCCCACCUCUUUUUGAUUGAUCAGUUUAGCUAGAGAUUUACCAAUUUUAUUAAUCUUUUAAAAGAACAGCUUUUCUAUUCAUUUGAUUUCCAAAAUUAUCUUUCUUUCCUUUUCUACUACUUUUGUUUUUCCCAAUAAUUUCUUAAAGUGGAAACUUAAAUAAUUUAGACUUUUCUUCCUUUCUAAUAUGAACACGUAAGGCUAUAAUUUUUCCCUCUAAGCACUGCUUUAACUGCA